rnacentral:lncRNA from 1 species
UGGGAGACAAUGAUAUGGUACAAGCCAUUGGAAUUGGCUCAAUUAUUGUAGAGUUUAUUGUGAAGGACCAAAUCAAGAAGAUCAGAUUGAAGAAAGUCUUACAUGUACCAAAGAUGAAGAAGAACCUUCUUUCGGUGAGCAAAAUUGUAUCAUAUGGUUGUAAGGUUUAAUUUGACAUAAAUGGAUGCUUUGUAAAGACAAUGGAUAGAAAACAUAUUGCCAAAGGCCUUACA